rnacentral:rRNA from 1 species
UCCUACGGGAGGCAGCAGUGGGGAAUUUUCCGCAAUGGGCGAAAGCCUGACGGAGCAACGCCGCGUGAGGGAUGAAGGCCUCUGGGCUGUAAACCUCUUUUCUCAAGGAAGAAGAUCUGACGGUACUUGAGGAAUAAGCCACGGCUAAUUCCGUGCCAGCAGCCGCGGUAAUACGGGAGUGGCAAGCGUUAUCCGGAAUUAUUGGGCGUAAAGCGUCCGUAGGCGGCUUUUCAAGUCUGCUGUUAAAACGUGGAGCUUAACUCCAUCAAGGCAGUGGAAACUGAUUGGCUUGAGUGUGGUAGGGGCAGAGGGAAUUCCCGGUGUAGCGGUGAAAUGCGUAGAUAUCGGGAAGAACACCAGUGGCGAAGGCGCUCUGCUGGGCCAUAACUGACGCUCAUGGACGAAAGCCAGGGGAGCGAAAGGGAUUAGAUACCCCUGUAGUCCUGGCCGUAAACGAUGAACACUAGGUGUCGGGGGAAUCGACCCCCUCGGUGUCGUAGCCAACGCGUUAAGUGUUCCGCCUGGGGAGUACACACGCAAGUGUGAAACUCAAAGGAAUUGACGG